rnacentral:lncRNA from 1 species
UCGUCCAUCCUCUUGGCUCCAAGCAUAUGACAUCCAUUCCAAGCUCAACUUUGCUCCAAAAAGCUCCAAAAUGCAUCCUUUUUCAUAUUUUGCCCUUAGAACCUGAAAACACUUAAAACUAGCUUAAAAGACUACUUUACUAAGCAAAAACACUAUAAAUGCACAAGAACGAGCUAAACUAAGGCGCAUAAAUAUGCUCCUAUCAAGGAAUCCUUGUUCUUCUAGGAAUCCUCGUGUGAUUAGGAAUCCAUCUUCAAUUAGGAAUCCUCAUGUGAUUAGGAAUCCAUCUUCAAUUAGGAAUCCUUCGUUGAUUAGGAAUCCUUCGUCGAUUAGGAAUCCUUUGUCGAUUAGGAAUCCUCCUUCAUGUAAGCACUUUCCUACUUCAACUAGGAAACCUUGUUCAAGUAGGAAUCAUCAUCUUCAAGUCUUCAAAUUCGUCCAAACCUUGGCUCCAAUUAUGUGAUAAUCAUUCCAAGCCCAAUUUUGCUCCAAAAAGCUCCAAAAUGCAUCUUCUUGCAUCCUUUGGCCUUAAAACCUGAAAACACAUAAAACUAGCUUAAAAGACUACUUUAACUAAGAAAACACCAUGGAAAUGCAUAAGAACUAGCUAACUAAGGCGCAUAAAUAUGCUCCUAUCAACAAGUAAAAGUGGUCUUUUCUUGAUCAUCCGGG